UACGUAGGGGCCUAGCGUUGUCCGGAAUUAUUGGGCGUAAAGAGCUCGUAGGCGGUUCGGCAAGUCGAAUGUGAAAUCUCCACGCUCAACGUGGAGGGGUCAUUCGAUACUGCCGUGACUCGAGUCCGGUAGGGGAGUGUGGAAUUCCUGGUGUAGCGGUGAAAUGCGCAGAUAUCAGGAGGAACACCAGUGGCGAAGGCGGUGCUCUGGGCCGGAACUGACGCUGGGGAGCGAAAGCGUGGGGAGCAAACAGG
rnacentral:rRNA from 1 species